AAUCAACGCUGGCGGCGUGCCUAACACAUGCAAGUCGAACGAGAAAGUGGAGCAAUCCAUGAGUAAAGUGGCGCACGGGUGAGUAACACGUGACUAACCUACCCUUGGGUGGGGGAUAACCUAGGGAAACCUGGGCUAAUACCGCAUAAUACCUACGGGUCAAAGGAGCAAUUCGCUUUGGGAGGGGUCGCGGCCGAUUAGUUAGUUGGCAGGGUAAUGGCCUACCAAGACGAUGAUCGGUAUCCGGCCUGAGAGGGCGCACGGACACACUGGAACUGAAACACGGUCCAGACUCCUACGGGAGGCAGCAGUGGGGAAUUUUGCGCAAUGGGGGAAACCCUGACGCAGCAACGCCGCGUGGAGGAUGAAGUCCCUUGGGACGUAAACUCCUUUCGAUCGGGACGAUAAUGACGGUACCGGAAGAAGAAG
rnacentral:rRNA from 1 species